rnacentral:misc_RNA from 1 species
AAGAAACGCAUUUGAGUCAUUUCACUGAACCGCGAAUCCAAAAAUAUCCGCUGGCCUGUAAAAUAUUAAAAAUCUUUUUCUCAAUUUCUCCUCUCGCACGCACAAUUGGAGAGGAGGAAAUAGAGCGCCAAAAGGUUUCUCGGGUCAUUGGAUCCACCGAAUCAACCCGAACUGAUCCGCAUGAUUCGUAUUCGCGAAUCAAAUCUGACCGUCCGUUCUUUAAUCCAACAGCUGAGAUCACUCGGCUAAGUGGUUACCCUAUUUUCUGCCUCCGGUGGUUUUUAUCAUAAACCCUAGCCUCUACGAGAGAGAUAGCUAGCUUCACGCUAUUUCCCCUCUCUCUCUGCAACUGCAAAGACUCCAUCAAGAUUUACGUGAAACGCGUUAGAGUCCUUACGAUCUUCUCUCUCUAUAGAGAGAGAGAGAGAGAGAGA